AUCACAGCCAUACGGGCUACGCUUCCCCCAGCUGAACUGUAUCUGCAGUUUAAUGGUGGGAGAAAAGACACUGUAUGGAGAUGUGCUCCUCCCGCUAAACUGCCAACCUCAUCUGUCAUUCAUUAGUUAAUCAGGGCUGGUAACACAAGAAACAGAGAGCUGGCACAGCCCGUGGGACCAGAGGAAGGCUUCAUCUCAGAGAGCAAGACAAGGGCAAGGACUCAGGGACCUCAGCUCUCCCGAUCUACAGCUGUGGCGUUUUACAGAACCGGCAGGCAGAUACUUCAAGAUGAUCCCACCCACUGCGUCACACACUACAGGGAGCUUUCAAAGGACAGAAGUCAAAACAACACAUGUUAUCAACAUGGGAACAGCUGGUAAGAGUGGCGUCAUGGGGCAGAAGAAUGUCAAGAGUCAUAGAUCUUUUAUCCAUCAGACGAAAGUACCCACCCAAACUCUGCAAAGUCAGAACAUUUAUAUAUCAAAUGUAAUCUUAUAAGAUGCUCAAAAUCAUAUCUCAAAUUUUAAUAAAUGUCUAUGCAAAUGCAAAUUUAAGUGCAAUAUAGAGGUGCCAAGUGGAUUUAUAUGCAACAGAUUGCAGGAUGUGCAAAUAACUUUUUGUCUUUAUCAGCUGCAAGACCUGAAGUUAAACUUCUUUCUGGUGAAAAUAAGACAGCAUAUCCUACAUUCCAUGCUUAAACAUGAAAAAAAAAAGAAAAAAAACAGCUGUUUGACGAGGCAUAUACACUGCCUUCAACACAGCUUCCUUUUUAAGUCAACACCACUCAGGAAUUGUAACCACACGUAAAAAUUAAAUGACAAAACAGCAACAUUUUUCUGUUUGUGUAAACAUUCUUGCUAGCCUGUUUUCCAUAAUUAUGUUACACUCAAACAUCCAGCAAACCAGCACUACAUGAAAUUAUAGAGGAAAAAGGAAACAAUCACAUAAACAGAACUGAAUAAAGCUCACUUUUGAUUAUAGAACUUGAAACACAUAAACAGCAUAACAAUUAUGAAGUUUUCAAGUAGUGGCCUUUGACACAGAACAUCCUUGUUUAAUUCCUUUUUCCUGCUAAAUGUUACACAGCUGCUUUUCUAAUCUGUCAUAGCAGCCAGCCUGCCCCCACUUGAAAAGAGAGAAUUAUGGAAAAACUCAAGAGAAGUGGAGGACCUUGACCUUGCAUUUCUAGGAAAAAAAAGAUGAAAAACACAAGCAACUGAUGCAAGAGACAAAGAAUCCAUUGUUACUGUAUUUCUUUCCACAGUGAUAUUGACAUUUCUUGGUAUUCAUGAGCAGAUUGCAGAGUAAAAUAAAAUGGUCCAUGUC